rnacentral:rRNA from 1 species
GAGAGUUUGAUCCUGGCUCAGGACGAACGCUGGCGGCGUGCCUAACACAUGCAAGUCGAGCGGAGGGGAUAGGAGCUUGCUCCUUGAACCUUAGCGGCGGACGGGUGAGUAACACGUGGGUAACCUGCCCUUGAGAGGGGGAUAACAGGGUCGAAAGGCCUGCUAAUACCGCAUAACGCUAAGAUGCCGCAUGGCGUCUUAGCCAAAGGUUAAUUCCGCUCAAGGAUGGGCCCGCGGCCCAUUAGCUAGUUGGUGAGGUAAUGGCUCACCAAGGCGACGAUGGGUAGCCGGCCUGAGAGGGUGGUCGGCCACACUGGGACUGAGACACGGCCCAGACUCCUACGGGAGGCAGCAGUGGGGAAUA